CCUGUCUACACAGAGUAGCAGUGGCUCUCCAGGAUUUCAGACAGGGGUCUGCCCCAGCCCCACCUGUGUGCUAAGCAGAUGCUCUACCAUUGGGUUUUACAGAAGCUUCAAAGAAAAUGUACACAGAGUAAUUGUGAAAACAUUACAGGCAACAGAAGGUUGCCUGGUAUUAGGGGCAAUAGCUUCAUUGAUGCAUGGGAAACUGAGGUGGGGUUCCAGAAACCUGCAAAAGGGCAACAAACUACAAGAAGGACGCAGCUGGAGAGAAUGAUUCCUAGUUUCAGUUGUCUCUACUGAAAGGCACAGGGUAUGGGAAACAAGCAAGAUGAAUUGGAGCUUUUAAUACAGGAUGGCAAAUAAGACAUAUGACCUAGAAGGCGAGUAGGCAUUGCCUCAGGGUUCAAGAUUUCUUUAACAGAUUGGAGAAUUGGGUUAACAAAAUGAAUUUCAAUAG